AAUGAACGCUGGCGGCGUGGAUUAGGCAUGCAAGUCGAACGCGAAAGUUCCCUUCGGGGAGCGAGUAGAGUGGCGAAAGGGUGAGUAAUGCUUGGAUGACCUGCCCUCGAGACGGGGACAACAGUUCGAAAGGACUGCUAAUACCCGAUAGUCCGGUUUAGAUGCGUCUAGAUCGGUAAAUGGUGCUUCCGCUCGAGGAGGGGUUCAAGUCCUAUCAGCUUGUUGGUGAGGUAACGGCUCACCAAGGCGAUGACGGGUAGCCGGACUGAGAGGUUGGCCGGCCACAUGGGAACUGAGACACUGUCCUGACUCCUACGGGAGGCUGCAGUCGAGAAUCUUCUGCAAUGGGCGAAAGCCUGACAGAGCGACGCCGCGUGGAGGA
rnacentral:rRNA from 1 species